UGGUGCAAUCAUAUUAACACAAAUGCAUCAGAUCUUAUUAGAAUUUUGAAGUUAAAAGUACUUGGGCGAGAGUAAUACUAGAAUGGAUGAUCUUCAUGGAAGUUCUUAUGUUGCACCCC
rnacentral:rRNA from 1 species